AGAGUUUGAUCCUGGCUCAGAACGAACGCUGGCGGCGUGGAUAAGACAUGCAAGUCGAACGGAAGAUGAUGGAGCUUGCUUUAGCAUCUUCAGUGGCGCACGGGUGAGUAACACGUGAGUACCUGCCUCCGAGAGAGGGAUAGCCCCGGGAAACUGGGAUUAAUACCGCAUAAUAUCGCAAGAUUAAAGCAGCAAUGCGCUCGGAGAUGGGCUCGCGGCCUAUUAGUUAGUUGGUGAGGUAACGGCUCACCAAGGCGAUGACGGGUAGCCGGUCUGAGA
rnacentral:rRNA from 1 species